CACCGCUGUGCCACAUGGGUCACCUUGCCCAGCUGGUACCGCAGGAGGACAACUGGGUCAGACAAGUAGGGCAGCCUGCAAGAGGUGUGCAGAGGGUCGGUACUGUCCCACAGGCUCCGCAGGUCCAGGUUUGCUCUGUGCCCGUGGGAGAUACUGCCCAGCAGGCACAGUCAUCGAAGUUACAUGUCCAAGAGGCACCUUCACCCCACAUCAAGGCGCUCUAAGUGUGAAGGACUGUCUGAAGUGUCCGGGAGGUUUCUACUGCCCAGAGGGAACAAGUGAUCCUUUGCCUUGUCAGCCUGGCACUUUUAACCCAUUGGAGGGGCAGGAUGCAUUGACAGACUGUAGGUUGUGUUACCCGGGCAAGGCCUGUACACAGGUAGCCCUGAAGGCUCCAGAUGUUGAAUGUAUGUCAGGCUUUGUAUGCCCACCUGGCUCAGCACGACCCAAUUACCCUGCCAACUCUUGCCCACCUGGAACCCUGAGCAACAGGACAGAUCUGACUGACCGCUCUCAGUGCCAGCUGUGUCCAGCACGCUAUGCCUGUCUGCGAGGCACUGGUGGCAUCCAGAGACCUCCACUCUCCUGCUUUGCUGGUCAUUACUGCCCGGUUGGCACCAUGUUCCCCACCCAACACAAGUGUCCAGCAGGCACCUGGAAUGAUCGCAGUGGGCUGGAGUCUGAGAGCGAGUGCCGGCCAUGCCCACGAGGCUGGUAUUGUCUGGCUGGUGUAGGCGUUCCUUCUGGAAGGUGCAGCUCGGGAUACUAUUGCCCAGAAGGAACAAUGUAUGGCACCCAGUUUCCUUGCCCUAGAGGCACAUACAGCAUAAAAAUGGGCAAUGGUGGAAAAGAGGAUUGUGUGGUAUGUCCUGAAGGGUAUUACUGCCAGGAGGGUUCGUCCAAACCCAUACCGUGCCCUCCAACAACAUUUCGGCAGUUUAAAGGAGGCCAAAGGCCCGAGGACUGUGCUGUGUGUCCAGCUGGCUACUUCUGUCCCCACUCAGCCACAGUCCACCCCAGAGUGUGUGGGACUGGCAGUUACUCUGAUGAGGGUUCAGAGGAGUGCUUUCCAUGUUUACCUGGUCACUACUGUAGUGAUGAGACCACCAGUGAGGAGGCCAUGCUCAGAGUGAUGGUGUGUCCACCUGGUUUCCUGUGCUCUAAAGGCUUGGAUCGGGAUCCCCAGCGCUCAGCCGUUCUUUGCCCUAUUGGCUUCUACUGCCCUGGGGGUGGUGUUAAUCCAAAUCCCAUACCAUGUCCCAAUGGCACCUACAGUCGGAAACCAGGACUGCGGGACCCUUCAGACUGCACCGUGUGUCCGGUGGGAAUGUACUGCUUCUCUCAGCAACCCCAGGAACAUCCAAUUACUGAACCAACUGGAGGCUGUCCUGAUGGAUAUUACUGCCCUUUGGGCACUGGACAUCCUCUUUCAUUCCCAUGUAAAUCAGGAUUCUUCAGGAAUGAAUCUCAUGGACAUGGUGGAGGUGCCUGUGUGAAAUGCCCAGCAAGAUAUUAUUGUAUGAGUGUUGCGACACACACACCAUCAGUCUGCCCAGAGGUAAAACAUUAAAAGCACAGUUUGAGUCAUGGCUUAAAAGUAUGAAAUGCAUUGGGAUGAAGAAACUUCUGACUCUGCUUUAUAUCAGGGCUUUUUCUGUCCUGAGGGGAGUUCUGCCCCAGAGCCAUGUGAGGAAGGCACUUAUAGCUCUCGGCCAGGUUUAUGUGAGGCAUCAGAGUGCACGCUUUGCGAUGGGGGCAAAUACUGCACUGGUGUUGGCAAGAUAAAACCUUCAGGAAACUGUGAGGGAGGAUUCUACUGUAGACAACAAUCUAUAAGUGCUACUCCUUUUGAUGGACUGACUGGAGGCCUAUGUCCAGCUGGCAGUUUCUGUUCUCCAGGCUCAGCUCACCCACAGCCCUGUCCUUCAGGCACAUUCAGCAACAGCACUGGCCUAAAACAUGUCCAGCAGUGUAUCAAAUGUCCUGCAGGUUAUUACUGUUUAGGUUUAGGCUCCAACUCUCCAACUGGCCUAUGUGCUGCGGGAUAUUACUGCAGUGGUGGUUCUGCAUCUCCUGUUCAGCAUCAAGUUGAAGAAGGCCAGUACUCUGUUGAGGGAGCUGUGAAGCCUGAGCCCUGCUCUUUGGGCACUUUUCAACCGGAAAGAGGACAAAGUGCAUGCGUUCAGUGCAAGCCAGGUAGAUUGUGUAACCUGACAGGCCUGUCCCAUCAGCCUCUUUGCCCUCCAGGACACUACUGUCCAGCUGGAACGUCAACUGCACAUCCAUGUCCCCCAGGAACCUACUUGGCUAAUCCAGGAGCAGAAAAAGUGCAGCACUGUGGUCCAUGUGAUGCUGGUCAGUACUGCCACGCUCCUGGUCUAUCAAGCCCUCAGGGUCCAUGUGAGCCUGGGUUCUACUGCAGCGGAGGAGCCAACACUGCCACUCCAGUGAACUUCAGGUCUGGAGAUGUUUGCCCUGCGGGAUAUUACUGCCCUAAAGGCACCAGACACCCACAUCAGUACCCGUGUCCCGCUGGAACAUGGAGUAGUGUGUUGGGAGCUCAGAACCUGUCCUCCUGCUCACCUUGUCCUGCAGGGUUUUUCUGUAACAAGACUGGACUCACUCAACCCACAGGAGUGUGUGCUGCAGGAUUUUUUUGUAUUAGUGGCGCUAAGUCUUCCUCGCCUGAAGACGGAGUUACUGGAAACAGAUGCCCAGCAGGAUAUUACUGCCCACAAGGGUGCACUUCACCUCAACACUGCCCUGAUGGGACAUACUCCAAUACUACAGGUGCUGCCGAGUGCAGUGACUGUCCUCCUGGAUGGCUCUGUCUGGAAGGCGAGGAGGCCCAGAUGUGUCCAGAAGGACAUUACUGCCUGGGGGGCACGCUGGAGGAUGUCCUCCCAUGCCCUCCAGGCACAUACAACCCCAAAGCAGGACAGAGACAAGUAGAGCAGUGUUCACUGUGCUCAGCUGGAAUGUACUGUGAGGAAUGGGGACUAGUGGAACCAACUGGUCCCUGCCAGUCAGGGUAUUUUUGUCUAGCAGGCAUAAAUUUUAGGAACCCUGAUGGGAACUUUAGCACAGGGGUAGGGGGAGGAUGUCCUCCAGGCCAUUACUGUCCUGAAGGCACUAGCCAACCUCUUCCCUGCCCACUCGGAACCUUUUCAAGCAGCCUUUAUAUCACAGAGAGCUCAGGCUGCAGUUUGUGUCCACCGGGGCAGUUCUGUGGAUCUGUUGGCCUAAGCAGGCCGUCUGGACCAUGCCAUGAGGGAUUCUAUUGUCCUGGUGGUGCCAUUUCCGCCACAGGUGCUGGCACAGAGGGUGGGCUGUGUCCCCAAGCACACUACUGCCCACUAGGCAGUGUCAUGCCUUUUUCCUGUCCAGCCGGUACCUACACAAAUCUUACCGGCCAAAUAAAAUGUAGCCUCUGCCAUGCUGGAUACUACUGCCCAGAGAGCACCAGCAACUAUACAAAGUUUCCAUGCCCUCCUGGAUUCUACUGCCCUGAUGGUACAAGACAUGCCACACAGUUCCCAUGUCCAAGAGGCUACUAUAACCCUGAGCCUAUGACCCAAAGCCUGGACAGCUGCCUUCCAUGCCUGCCAGGCCACUACUGUGAGAAGGAAAGACUGACAGCCGUGUCUGGGAAAUGCAAAGCUGGCUGGUUUUGUGUCUCUGCAGCCUGGAACCCUCAACCGUUCGAUCUGGACAACUACACAAGUGCUAAUUGUCUGUGUCCAGCCUCCUCCACUGGAGGACGAUGUCAGGCAGGGUUCUUCUGCCCAGCAGGCAGCUCUGAACCUAUACCUUGCCUUCCUGGAGCCUUCUGCAAUGCCAUAGGUCUGGCUUUGCCAAGUGGUCCCUGUGCUGCAGGUUAUUACUGCACUGGGGAAGCAACUCAGUCUAAACCAACAGAUGGCAUCACUGGUGAUAUUUGUCCUCCUGGCUCCUAUUGUGCUGAAGGCUCUAGCGAGCCGGAGCCAUGUCCAGUGGGAACAUUCUCUGCAGUAGCAGGUCUGAGGCAUCGAUCUCAGUGUCAGUCAUGCAGAGCCGGUCACUACUGCAGCACGAGAGGCCUAAGAGCUCCUACUGCGCCUUGCAGUCAGGGUUAUUGGUGUCCCCCUGGUCAGACUGACGACCUAGCUCUACCUUGUCCGCUCGGUCAUCAAUGUCCCCUAGGAAGCCCUGCCCCAGUUCUCUGCCCCUCUGGGACUUACCAGGACAAGCAGAAGCAGGCCAACUGCACAGUCUGUGAAGAGGGUUUUUACUGUGACGAGAGCUUUGGCAUCAAUAAUGUAUCUGUCCUGCAGUCAUGUCCUAAAGGAUAUUACUGCCCUAAAGGAACCCGCUAUGCCACUCAGUUUCCUUGUCCCGUUGGAAGCUACAACCCAAAAGAGGGCAUGGUCCGCCUAAACAGCUGCCUUCUGUGUCCAGUAGGACACUUUUGCCCAUUUGCAGGCUUAGCAGAGCCUGCAGGCUUGUGCAUGCCUGGGUACUGGUGCAGAGAGGGCUCCCACUCAGCCAGUCCUUCUGCUGGAUCCACAGGAUCACUUUGUCCAGUCGGACACUACUGCCCUAAAGGCACCACCAGCCCCUUGCCAUGUCCAUUAGGCACCUUGUCAAACAGCACAGGCCAGAGGAGUGAAGAGGACUGCCAGCCGUGCCCUGGAGGAUUCUACUGUGCUAGCACUGCCCUCUCAGUGCCAACUGGACUCUGCUCUGAAGGAUUUUAUUGCAUUGAGAAAGCAGCAACCCCCAUGCCUACUGAUGGAAACUCAGGAAACAUGUGCCCACAUGGUCAUUAUUGUCCGAAUGGAAGCGCUCAACCUCUGCCAUGUGAUCUGGGGACAUUUAUGUCUGCCACACAGGCCUCUCAGUGCUGGCCCUGCACGGCUGGAUGGUACUGUGUGGAUGGGGCUCGCUUACCAUGUCCACAAGGUUUUUACUGUCCAGAGGGGACGGCUUAUGAGUGGAAAGCUUGUCCACCAGGCACUUACAGCCCAGACUCUGGCCUGAGUGAGCUCUCCCAGUGCAUGGAGUGUGAUGGAGGACACUACUGCUCUUACCAGAAUGCUACAUCUGUCUCUGGACUGUGCUCUGCAGGAUAUUACUGCAUACGUGGAAACACCUCACCGCAGCCACUCACCUUGUCCACAGGAGAUGGUGGACCUUGUCCUGCAGGUCAUUUCUGUCUAGAAGGCACCAGGGACCCCCAGCCUUGUCCAGCGGGGACGUUUAGUAAUAGAACCAAAUUAACUUCAGAGGACGAGUGUGUUCCCUGUUCUCCUGGUCAUUACUGUGACACACCUGGGCUGACUGCUCCCAAAGGGGAAUGUUGGGAGGGUUUCUACUGCAGCCAAGGAGCUUUGCUGCCCAAUUCUUUAAUCAGGGACCACAGAGGAGGGCCAUGUCCUGCAGGUCGCUCAGGCUUACCUUGUUCAGGUUGAAUUGAACCUAACUUUCUUCCCUUCAAAACCCUGACUUCUAAUAUUUAUGAUCUCUGUGACAUACCACAGGUUAUUUUUGUCCUAGAGGGUCCAGUGUGCCUCAGUCCUGUCCACAAGGAUCCAUCAGCAACAAUGAGGGCCAAGCCAGCUGCAGCCCCUGUCCCCGCGGUUACUACUGUCUGGCCUACGGCUCUAUCACUGAAGGCAGAGACUGUCCAGUGGGUCAUUACUGUCCCACAGGCACAUCCCUGAAAAAUCAGUAUCCCUGUCCUGCAGGGACGAUUAAUCCCUAUACAAGAAUGGGCAGUGCAGACGACUGUUUACCAUGCACACCAGGGUUUUUCUGCAAGGCUCCUGGUCAGAGUGCCCCAUUUGGACCAUGUGUAGCAGGACACUUCUGCCUCUCUGGGGCUGUGUCCCCAAAACCUGAGGAUGGUGUGACUGGGGACCAAUGUCCUCCUGGUCAUUACUGUCCUGUGGGCUCCUCAUUUCCACUGCCAUGUCCACCUGGCCACUAUAGCAACAGCAGCAAGAACACAGAGCUCUCUGCCUGUCUGGCCUGCCCUGCUGGAUUUGCUUGCUCCAGCAGGGGGCUCUCUGCUCCUUCUCAUGUCUGCCAUGCUGGCUAUUACUGCCCCCAAGGCCAGAACUCCAGUCAGCCUGUUCAAUACAUGUGUUCCCCUGGCCAUAUGUGCCCCCCAGGCAGUGCUACACAGAUUUCCUGUGCUCCUGGGAGCUAUCAAAGCCUACACACACAGGCUCAGUGGAUGCUGAAACAGAGAUUAUGAGAGGGACCACCACACCUGUCCCGUGUCCUGUGGGGCAUUACUGUCCAGCAGGUACAAAAUCUGGGCGUGAGUUCCCCUGUCCAGCUGGUACUUACAGCAAUGAGUUAGGUAUGUCCAGUGUGGGACAUUGCAUUCCCUGCCCCAGUGGACAGUACUGUGGCUCCUCUGGCCUGUCCACACCCACUGGAGACUGCUCUCCAGGGUACCUGUGUAUCCAGGGUGCCUCUCAAUCACAGCCACCUGGAGAUGCCACAGGAAGUAAAUGCCCAGCAGGCUUCUAUUGCCCAGCAGGCACCAGUCAUAUGCAUUCCUGCCCUCCAGGAACAUUCAGUUCAUUAAAAGGGGCAACAUCUAUUCUGGAUUGCCAGCCAUGUCCACCCGGUCAGUACUGUGCAGACUAUGGGUUGAGUUCACCCUCUGGCCUCUGCAACCCAGGAUAUUACUGCAGUCUCCGAUCAGUGUCCUCUACACCGCAUCAUAACAGAAGUCUUGAGGAUAAGGUGCAUGGGACAAAUGCAGAAGAUAAACUCUUUGAUUUGGAUAAGAUCACUGGGAAUAUCUGUCCUCAGGGGCACUACUGCCCCAUUGGAAGUGUCCAGCCAUUAAAAUGCCCACCAGGAACGUUCCUGGGCCGAUAUGGCGCUGUGUCCGAGUCUGACUGUAACCCAUGUGUGCCUGGAUUUGUCUGUCCCGAUUGGGGCCAGAGCUCUGUAGAGCUCCUCUGCCCAGAGGGUUGGUUCUGCCCUGCAGGCUCUGAGACUGAACGUGAGCCUGGUCAACAGUGCCCACUAGGUCAUUCAUGUCCAUAUGGUAGUACUGAGCCUGCCAUCUGUCCCCCUGGAACCUAUCAGUCUCAACCAGCUCAGCCAUCCUGCCAGACAUGUCCAACAGGUUUUUACUGUCUGGAAGGUGCAUCUUCUCCUACGCCCUGCCCAGCUGGAACAGUGAGUCAAGUUGAAGGAUUGCAGUCUUUGUUGGACUGCCCCCCCUGCCCCCCAGGCUUUUACUGCAAUAUUAGUGCUCUCACCACUCCCUCAGGACCUUGUUCUGCUGGCCACUUCUGUUCAUCUGGAGCCACAGAACCUAGACCAGUCGCUCAGACAUAUGGAGACAUCUGCCCAGCAGGGUAUUACUGCCCUAAACAGAGCAGUGCUCCUUUACCCUGUCCUGUUGGCCACUUCCUGCAAAAUAAGGGAGCCUCUUCUUAUACUGCCUGCUCCACAUGCCCUCCGGGCAGGUACUGCCUUGCAUUUGGCUCCUCCCAACCAUCGGGUUUUUGCUCUCCUGGACACUACUGCACAGGCGGUGCAGAUACUGCAGCACCAAAAGCCAAAGCUGUUCAGUUGACAUGCUUCUGUGACCUCUUGCCAGAGUCCAGACACAGAGAGUAUUAUCUGUGUGCUCAGAGAUACAGUACCACCUGCACAGCUCAUAGCACAGGUAUACUGUAUUAUUGUGCCUGAAACAAACAAAAGCAUGUGUGGUAGUUCAAGUUCAACCAAUUUAUUUGUUUCUUUAUACAGAAAGUGGAAUAAGAAACAGCAUGAGUGAGAACUCCAGGCUUUCCUCAGAUUUAGCACUGACUAAACCUAAUUCAAAAAUAGCUCUGGAAGUCACGCAAGCUCUAUGCAAUGACUUCACAGGAGACAUUUGCCCUGUAGGUUUUUACUGCCCUGUGGGCUCAUCCUUGCCUCAGCUCUGUAAUGCAGGCUCUCACUGUAAUCAGACUGGCCUUCAUGCACCUGUUGGUUUUUGCCCUGAUGGUUUCUACUGCCCUAAAGGCUCCUCAGAUCCUUAUGCUACACCCUGUCCUCCUGGACAUUACUGUCCCAAAGGCACGGUCAUACCCCUGCCCUGCCUGCCAGGCACAUUGAGAAGCUCUGCUGGAGGAGUGAGAAUAGAGGACUGUUUGUUCUGCCCAUCUGGAUAUUUUUGUGACCAGAAAGGUCUAACAGAGCCCAGUGGCCUGUGCUCUGAGGGAUAUUACUGUCCUGUAGGGCAGAACUCAUCUCAGCCUCCAGAGCAUAAAUGUAGAGCAGGUCACUACUGCGAAGAGGGAAGUAUGAGUGGCAGAGCAUGCCCUUUGGGCAGCUACCAGCCCAGGAAAGGACAACAGAAAUGCGAGAUGUGCCCUGCUGGUUUCUCCUGCCCUCAUGAAGGUAUGACACACACAGUCCCAUGCAAGCCGGGGUUUUAUUGUCCAGCAUGGUCUGCUAUUGACAAGCCAUGUCCAGCGGGGACUUAUGGAAACCAGUCUGGGUUAACUGAACUAUCCGAGUGCACUUUGUGUGAUCCAGGCUCAUACUGUGCAGGAGCAGGUAACGUUUCACCCACUGGUCUGUGUAUGGCCGGCUUCUUGUGUUUUGGAGGAGCUUCUCUGCCAUCUCCUGUAGACAAUGUGACAGGAAUGCAAUGUCCACCUGGAUUCUACUGUCUCACUGGGAGCUUUACUGCAACACCCUGCCCCAAAGGCACUUUCAGCGUGCUGCGCGGAUUGACAGAACUAGGGCAGUGCCAAAGUUGCUCCCCAGGGUUCUAUUGUUCAAUAGUAGGCCUGACUGCAGUUAGCGGACCUUGCCUGCCAGGUUUUUACUGCAGUGAGGGAUCGCCUAGCGCAGCCCCUGUGUCUGCUGUGUUUGGUGAUGUUUGUCCUCCAGGUUAUUACUGUGAGAGUGGCAGCGCUGUGCCCACGCCCUGCCCGGUGGGCACUCACAAUUCUGAGAGUGGUGGAAAGGGUGCAGAGGACUGCAUGCCUUGCCCUGAUGGGCUGUUCCAGGAUCUGAAAGGCCAAAGAGAGUGUAAACCUUGUCCUCCUGGAUUCUACUGCCCCGCAUCCACCCAGAAAUCUAAUGUCAGCAGCACUCCAUUGAUCUGUCCAGAGGGCUAUUAUUGUCCUAAUGAAACACGGCUAGGCAGGCCUGUCCCUUGCCCCAGAGGCACAUACAGUAAUACCCGAGGCCUUUCAGCAGAUGAGUGCGUGGUCUGUCCAGUGGGCUAUUUCUGUGGUGCACAUGCACUUGUCCAGCCAUCUGGGCCGUGUGCCCCUGGAUUCCUCUGCUUUUUGCGUGCCACAGUUCCCAACCCCAGUGACAACAAAACAGGAGCUCUUUGUCCACCAGGGGCAUACUGCCAGCUGGGAGUCAGAACUGGUGACUGUUCUCCAGGCUACUACUGUGACUGGGGAUCUAGUAGCCCAGAAGAGAGACUCUGCCCAGCAGGUUUUUAUUGCCUAGCUGGCACAGACAAACCCAUUGCCUGUGGCCCAGGGACAUUCAGCUCAGUCAUGGGGAACAGUGACAGAGAAAACUGUGAACCAUGCCCAGCAGGCUACUUCUGUCAGGAUGAACUCUACUGGAAAUAACAUGUGCCCUCCUGGUCACUACUGCCCCGCUGGCACUAGCUACCCUCUACCAUGCCCUCCUGGAUCAUUCUCAAGCUCUCCAGGGUUAAGCAUUGUAGAGAAGUGCCAGUCCUGCCCACCAGGCUACUUCUGUGAGCAUCCUGCAAUGGUCAGCGCCUUUGAUGCUUUGCUCUGUGAUGCUGGGUAUGUAUGCCUUGGAGGUAGUCGCAGUUCACGCCCAGUUGAUGGACUGGAGGGUUAUAUUUGUCCCAGUGGCUACAGUUGCCCCAUUGGUACCCCAGUGGAAAUGCCAUGUGAGCCUGGCACUUAUAGCAGUGCCCCUGGAGCUGCUCAUUGUCUUUCCUGUCCAUCAGGUACCAUGUGCCCUUCCUCAGCCACUCAAGAGCCCUCUCCAUGUCCUAAAGGACAUUUCUGUCCUUCUGGCACUGCUUUGGCACUGCCAUGCCCUUUAGGCACUCUGGGCCAGUUUACCAGGGCUCAAUCAGAGUCUGCCUGUGUACCCUGUCCACCUGGCCUCUACUGCAACAUACCUGGAUCCUCUCAG
ensembl:lncRNA